UGUGGAAGAUUAGAAGAUAAUGGAUACUAUUAUUCCAUCCAGAUUCCUCUUCAGGACCAAGGACUCAUUUUCCAGCUGGCAGGAAUGUUAGCUACUGACGGCCAUGGCUGAGUUCCUCUUCAGGAAUUAUCCUCCACUUGAGGGGAAUUGCUUUGUUCAGUGUUACACUCCCUCUAUAGUGGCAGCCCACACUGGUUGAUGUGGGGUACAAAGUCCUGGACCUUGUCUUAGAUGGGAUAGUUCUGAAGGGCUAUUCCAGCUCCAGAACUCCUCAUAGGAUUGGCUGAGGUCUCCUCUGCAACUGGAUCACAGUUCAACUUUUUCUUCUGCCCAGUCCUUCUUCUCUCAUCUGUUGCCAGUUUUAUUCGUGUGAGCAUUCGGAUCACCAACGCUGUGACCUCGCUGUGUGAACGGGAGCUACUACAGGAAGGAAGCUUACAAAUGAGCUGCAUGGAUCCCACAUUUUGCUAAAAUCAAAUAGGACCUUUCUCCUCUUUGUUGAAUGCCGUAAUACACAAGAAAUAAGCCAGCAGGAUGCUCAUGUCCAAGGUUUCCCUUUAUCUACCACACGAGUUGGCAUGAAACAACUUCUGGGGUUCAAAUCUUCUGAACAAUGAUACAAGUCUUGGCAAAUUUCAAGAAUAAUUUAAAGAGGAAAUAAAUAGCUUUUUGUUUAACUUGGAUCAAUUAUCUCCUAUUGGUCCCAGCUUCAUGCCAGGUACUCUCCACUGUGCCUGGGAAAUAUGAAUCCCUGCCCUCAUGAAAAAACAUUGGCCAUGAGGAUUUUCCCUACAACCCAAGAACUAUUUGAAGUUUGAAGUCUUUCAGCCCAGACAACACUGGCUAUUUUCACCUUUGCCUUCAACUAUAAAGGCUGGGCUCUCUCUGCAGGAGUGGGUGGGGCUGGAAUUUGGAGCUGAAGAAACAAGAUGAACUGCGCAGAGUUGUGAAAGUGCCUGAAUCAGGCUGAUCAGAGAUGCCACACAUACCUUCUGCCAUUGGUUGCUAUGCAGAGCAAAACCACAAGGCCUAGAAAUUGCAGGUUCGUUCAUUCUUCAGUGCUUAACAAUCUCCCAAGGAAGGUAGAUGCAUUUUCCAAGAUAGCAGUUUCAUCAAAGAACAGCCGAUAAUGACAGAUAAAGAGCAGCCUGGCGGCUUGAGCUUAUGUCCGUUUCAAGGAUUUACUGAAUACUAAUAGAACACAGCUUUUGUUGAGAAAAUGCCUUUGCAGUCAGUGAUUGCCUUGUGUCGUUAAACCUAGCCACCAAUUGUUUUGCCCCACAGGAUCUGUAAUACUUUACCAAAUCAGGGAAAAAUAUUAAUUAGAUUUUUUUUAAUUUAGGAAGAAGUUCGACUUUAAGUAUGUAUUUAUUUAUUCAAUAGUGAAAAGAUUUGUGUGUAUGGUGAGUGAUUUCCGUUUCGUUACUAUAGAGUGACACAUGGUACAUGUGGGAGGCAGAAUGAAAUGAUCUGUAAUCCCAUUCUAAUAAAGGCAGUUUGAAGCAUAUGUUAUUGGGCCAUCCCGUACAUACACACCCUGAACUACACAAUUAUGCUUUUCAUUACAUGUUAUGUUACACUUUCUCUAUUUGUAUACAUUGGUUUUUACCUCUCAAGCUGUAAUAUACAUUUCACAAGGUCAUGGUCCUAGUACUUCUUUUACUCGUCCAUGUUGUUAUUAAGAGAAAUUGGGCACAUGUCAUAGGUUGAAAAUACAUGUUAAUUGAGUAGCACAGAUUGUGAGUUCAGAAAGUGACAGGAAAAAAGAAGGCGGCUUUGGCAGAUUCCAACAGAAGCUGAGUUUUUAAAGGAGUAAAUGGAAACAUAUGAAAAAUUUGACCUAAGUGAUGGAAAAAAUAAAACUCUGGGAAGGCGGCUUGUUCCAACUUUCUGCUAAGCCAAGACCUUCAAAACAGGAAUUGACAAUUUUGAAUGAUGAAGAGAAAUCUUUGGCUAUACCAAAAUAGAUGUAAUCUUCAAAUUACUUAGAUUACGGAGAUGUAAAACCAGAUUAAAAAUCUCAGUUCUUUGAAUAUUUGAUAUACAAGUUUCCCUCUCACUUCUCUCUGUUUUUCAUCUUCAUGACUUUUGGCCUAAUAAAGACUUCAUUAAAAAUAAACAAAG
rnacentral:lncRNA from 10 species